rnacentral:rRNA from 1 species
CCUACGGGAGGCAGCAGUGGGGGAUAUUGCACAAUGGGGGAAACCCUGAUGCAGCGACGCCGCGUGUGGGAAGACGGUCCUCUGGAUUGUAAACCACUGUCCCCAGGGACGAAGAUGACGGUACCUGGGGAGGAAGCUCCGGCUAACUACGUGCCAGCAGCCGCGGUAAUACGUAGGGAGCGAGCGUUGUCCGGAAUUACUGGGUGUAAAGGGAGCGUAGGCGGGGAUGAAGGUUGAGUGUCAAAACUACCGGCUCAACUGGUAGUCGCACUCAAAACUGCAGCUCUUGAGUGAAGUAGAGGCAGGCGGAAUUCCUGGGGUAGCGGUGUAAUGCGUAGAUAUUAGGAGGAACACCAGUGGCGAAGGCGGCCUGCUGGGCUUUUACUGACGCUGAGGCUCGAAAGUGUGGGGAGCAAACAGGAUUAGAUACCCGGGUAGUC